UUUAAAAACUACCCAGAACCGAGAGAUAAAAGAGCAGUGAAGAAGGCUAAAGAUACAAAGAGCAAAGAAAUUCUUGAGAAAGAUUAUCUCAACUCUGUGAAGCCUAGCAAUAUUUAAGACCCAGAUAAUAAAUUACCAGAUAAGUCCAAGAGUACAGUAUACUCCCUCCCAUCCAAAUUAUUUCAUGUUUUAUCCUCUAAAAGUUAGUCCAAAAGAAAAUAGUAUUUAGUUCUAUUUUUUAAAUUUACUCUCACACAUUUUCAUAUUCUCAUAAUAACUAUGUGAACCUUAAAAAAAAUUAUAAUUAAGGGUAUCUUAAUCAAAAUACCUCUUAACUUUUAGGAGUUAAUAAAUUUCUUAAUUCAUGUGUUCAAACUUAAAACUUCAAUUAUUUUGGAUCGGAGAGGAGAGAAUAAUUUUUAUUGCAUUUCAUACAAUUAGUCAAUGCCGUGUUGUCCCGCCCCAAGUGUUAUUUCUAAGUAAAAUAAAAUAAUAUAAUAAAUUGUCUUUUGUUUUUAAUUGGCAGCUUGGUGAGAUACCUUGCUGAAUUUAACGAAAUUCACUUCUUCGGGGACAAGACAUACAAGGGAGGAAAUGACUACGAGAUUUUUUAGUCAGAAAGAACUCUCGGUCACACAGUUACUAGUCCGGAAGAUACAGUGAAGCAAUGUUCAUUCUUAUUCCUUGGCAAGGAUAAUGCAAGUUCUUGAGCAGGUCUCAAUUUUUCUAUAUAUGCGCUGUUGUAGUUGUAUGUCAAUUUUUGAGUUUGUAAUUUGUGUUCCCAGGGAACAAGUGCAAAGAAUGCUUGUAGUUAGUGUACUCAUCAAAAUCUGUAUUCUUUGUUUGUUUCCAUUCUUGAAGUUAAUAAUUUAUAAAGUACUCCAAUAUCUUUGCUUUAAACUAUGAUAAAUAAAAUCUCACUUCAAUAAAUGGUUAUC